rnacentral:lncRNA from 1 species
CAUAGGCACCACCAGCAGCUCCCAGCUAAAGUCCGUGUGUGGCAGGGACACUUCUGAAAGAGGUCUGAUGAAGUUCUUCAGCUCCAGCGUCCUCUCUGAGACACCUUCUUGUCACCAGACACCGCAUAUGCUUUAAGGCUGGAAACAAGAGUUUUGUCAUGGAUGAGGUGUUACAGGAAUGAAGGAACCCUAGAAUACAAG